CACCAACGAUCUUUGUUUGGUCUAUUUUCUUAAUACUUCAAGUGGCUUGUUUGUUUUCUUCGUUAAAUAAAUUAGUUUUUAAAAUCUACAAUCUAUGAAACUCUAUUUUGAUAUGUUUUAGCAAAAAUGCCUGUCUGUGAAAAGCCUCAAAUCCUUAGAUUUUGAUCCGUUUUAACUGUGCAUGUCUGUAUGAUUAAGAAUUGCUUUUAAUUUCUUGUUGGUUGUUUUAUGAUCACCUAUCAGACAUAAUUACCAACUUUCUUGCUCUAUUUUGAUUUUGAACAAUAUGUUUUGCCAAGUAUUGUAUGAAAGCUUAGUAUUGAAUUACACUUACAUAUUUUUGAGUGAUUUUCUUCAUCCCUUGAUUAUCGUGAUUGUAGAAUCGAAAUUGAUAAUUUAUUUUGGCAUAUUCGGAUGUUUGAUUUACCGUUAUUUGCUGUGUGUAAAACACUUUUGGUAAGAUGUGAUUCGAUUGUGCCUAAAUAACAGGAAAGCUUGCUGUGUGUAAAACACUUUUGGUAAGAUGGGAUUCGAUUGUGCCUAAAUAACGUGAAAGCUCUAUCAUAUAUGCUUUGAGUACUUGCAGCCACCACUGACGUAAUGGCCGUGCUGAGUUAAUUUUGGAGAUAGAGAUUUAGCUACUGGACAUGAUUAGUGACAUAGGGUUGACUUUUGAUGAAAUUGGAUGCAAUUGGAUGCAUUACGGGAAGUGAAUAAUGAUUGAGCUUUGGGAUUGAUUUUCUGGAUAUGUGGAGAAUUGGAUUAAGCUCGAAAAGCAUGAAUUUAGAGACAGAAACAAGUAAAAGAGCAAUGAGCUUGAGGGGGAGUAAGUUAUGCAGUAUAGAAGAUAUUCCCCUAGAUUGUGCUCCACGUCGCCCCUUGUAAUUUUGGAUACAAUGACGGAUUCCAGUGAGCGUCCGAUGUGGUAGUGACUAUUUGUUGGGCCAAACUUGUCCUACUAUAAAAGGAACACUUCAACACAAUUGGGGAUACUUUUGCAUAAGUACUGCAAAGGCUAAAAACACUGUGAUACUUCUUUUAGGGAUGUUGGAACUUUAUUCUUUCAACAUUACAUUUUGGUAUGAUUAAUUAUUUGUAUUUUAUAUUGAAUUCGAACAUG